rnacentral:rRNA from 1 species
GUCGAGCGAAUGGAUUAAGAGCUUGCUCUUAUGAAGUUAGCGGCGGACGGGUGAGUAACACGUGGGUAACCUGCCCAUAAGACUGGGAUAACUCCGGGAAACCGGGGCUAAUACCGGAUAACAUUUUGAACCGCAUGGUUCGAAAUUGAAAGGCGGCUUCGGCUGUCACUUAUGGAUGGACCCGCGUCGCAUUAGCUAGUUGGUGAGGUAACGGCUCACCAAGGCAACGAUGCGUAGCGACCUGAGAGGGUGAUCGGCCACACUGGGACUKAGACACGGCCCAGACUYCUACGGGAGGCAGCAGUAGGGAAUCUUCCGCAAUGGACGAAAGUCUUACGGAGCAACGCCGCGUKAGUKAUGAAGGCUUUCGGGUCGUAAAACUCUGUUGUUAGGGAAGAACAAGUGCUAGUUGAAUAAGCUGGCACCUUGACGGUACCUAACCAGAAAGCCACGGCUAACUACGUGCCAACAGCCGCGGUAAUACGUAGGUGGCAAGCGUUAUCCGGAAUUAUUUGGGCGUAAAGCGCGCVCAGGUGGUUUCUUAAGUCUGAUGUGAAAGCCCACGGCUCAACCGUGGRGGGUCAUUGGAAACUGGGRGACUUKAGUUCAGAAGAGGAAAGUCGGAAU